GGAGAAAGGAAUGCAAGGAGCUGAAUUGUGCCAAAUUACAAGCAAUUGUAAAGCAAUAUAUUUGUGCUUAAAUGUUUCCAUGCUCAUUUCCCUAACACCUGCAAUGUCCAUACAGCUUCAGAGAUAAAACCCGAGUAACAACUAAAAAGCCGGCCACCCUAUCUGCAGCAGGGUGUUUGCUUUCCUUUGCCUAAUUUCACUUUAAGCUUUUUGCAGCUCCCCAGCUCCUGAUAGCAUCACGCCCUGCAAACACCUGUGCAUUAUUAUAGCCUUCCUCCGCUUUAAUGUAGUCAGCCUUCAUGAUAGUAGUUAGUACAUCAUCAGUUAGUUCCCCAAAGUGCUGAUACCAUUUUAGGUGUUUAUUAAUUAAUUUAUUUUUUUUUUCUGCACUGGACAGCCUUUUUGAAACCCAAGGAUUUGGAAACCAAAGAGUCAGCUGUCAGAACUGUGUAGAGAGGAACAGUUUGGCUGGGAGCUCGCACGUCUGCCUUUGCAUCACAGAAGCUUUUUGUGCUGGUGUGUGGAAAGCAAACACCAUUAGACCUCAUGGGCCUCACAUGGCAAAAAAAAAAAAUAAAUAAAAUCUAAAAAUCCCCUCCCAUUAGGAACAGCUCUGUUACCUCUGCCCAGAGCCUGUACAAUCCCUCAGGCCCUGCAGGGCAAAGCCCUCACAAAACCCCCAAACAGGGCAGUCCAGAGACAACCCACCCACAUCCCACUGCUGCAAGCAUGGCUUUGCUGCACCCACAGUGCUCCCAGCCCCCAGAAAUGCUGGAAAACGACAGAACAAGUGAUUGCUGUGCCUCCAAGAGAACACCUGCAUCACUACAUCACCCUCCCAGGUUUUUUUGGGAGGGAAGAAAGCAAAACAAGCCUCAGCAGAACAGCUUCCUGAUCCAGGGACCUCACAGGAGGGUGUAAGGCUCUUUGCUUCCAGCCCUGGAGCUCCACCACAAAGCCUUGCCAGCGCCUCUCAGCCCCUGUGAGCCUCCUUGGCUCGGUACCAGCCCUGUGUGCUUUGGAGGUGGGGCUUUCACUGCUCCUGGACAACUUCAGUACCGGAGUUUUUCUCCUCGAAGGAAAGUCCGCAAAGUGCUGUGCGUUGAUGAAGAGCAGAGAUGAACCAACUGACCAUAAAUUAUGCACUCACAAGCUAAAUCUAGAUAGCUAGUGGGUAGAGCAUAACAGCCGUGAUGGAUGGCUUUCCUCCAGCAGGCAGACAGCCUGGGGACUAGGGAAAAAAAAAGCCAAAGUGGCUGCGGAGAUGCCUGGGAGGCUCUCCAGCAAGUCCUAGCAUGGACCAGUCUCCCCUGCCAUCCCAGCAGGGUUUAUGGUGGAAGCAAUGAAAUCCUCUUCACCCCGGUUGCUUCUCCCC
rnacentral:lncRNA from 1 species